AGCCCGGUGGUGCAGUGGUAGUUCAUUCGGUUUCCUAUCGCAGAGAUUCCCGCAGGUUAUCGCUGGGUUUAAUUCCCAGCCGGGCAG
rnacentral:tRNA from 1 species